GCUCUCGUAGCUCAACAGGAUAGAGCUCCGGUUUCCUAAACCGAAGACACAGGUUCGACUCCUGUCGGGAGUA
rnacentral:tRNA from 1 species